CCUACGGGUGGCAGCAGUGAGGAAUAUUGGUCAAUGGGCGAGAGCCUGAACCAGCCAAGUCGCGUGCAGGAUGACGGCCCUACGGGUUGUAAACUUCUUUUAUAUGGGGAUAAAAUGUUCCACGUGUGGGAUUUUGUAUGUACCAUAUGAAUACGGAUCGGCUAACUCCGUUCCAGCAGCCGCGGUAAUACGGCGGAUCCGAGCGUUAUCCGGAUUUAUUGGGUUUAAAGGGAGCGUAGGGGGAUUGUUAAGUCAGUUGUUAAAGUUUGCGGCCCAACCGUAACAUUGCAGUUGAAACUGGGAGCCUUGAGUACAGUAGAGGUGGGCGGAAUUCGUGGUGUAGCGGUGAAAUGCUUAGAUAUCACGAAGAACUCCGAUUGCGAAGGCAGUUCACUGGACUGCAACUGACACUGAGGCUCGAAAGUGGGGGUAUCAAACAGGAUUAGAUACCCCGGUAGUC
rnacentral:rRNA from 1 species